CUAUAUCGUUAAACCACCAAUCUUACUUGUAUUCAAGUCUGCAGCUGCUGCACCUACCCCUGACUUGUCUGCUGACAUCAGCAGAAGUGAUCUGAGCCAAUCAAAAUGCUUUCACAUAGGAUUGGCUGAGACUGUCAAGGAGGCAGAUUAGGGGCAGAGCCAACACAAGUCAAACACAGCUCUGGCCAAUUAGCAUCACCUCGUAGAGAUGCAUUGAAUCAGUGCAUCUCUAUGAGGAAAUUUCAGUGUCUGCAUGCAGAGAGUGGAGACACUGAAUGCUAGUACUGCACACUGUGCAGCACUGCCCCAGGAACCACCUCCAGGAGCCAUCUGAGGAGUGACCAGUGGAGUUAUCACUAGGCUGUAAUGUAAACACUGCAUGUUCUCUGAAAAGACAUUGUAUACAGCAAAAAGCCUGAAGGGAAUGAUUUUACUCACCAGGACAAAUACAAUAAACUGUAGUUGUUCUGGUGACUAUAGUGUCCCUUUAAAGAUUGUUAGUGUUAAGUAAAGUGAGAAUUCAAAGUAAAUUCAGACAAUUUCAAAUUGAAUUUCACAAUAGUUGAACUGGAAAAAUUCUGUUAGCCAGCUAUAUUUUCAGUUCAGCUACUCUGGCUUUAAACUUGAC